rnacentral:rRNA from 1 species
GGAUGAACGCUGGCGGCGUGCUUAAACACAUGCAAGUCGAACGUGAUCCAUUAGCAAUAGUGGUGAAAGUGGCGAACGGGUGAGUAACACGUAGAUGACCUGCCCUGAAGAGGGGGAUAACGACUGGAAACGGUCGCUAAUACCGCAUAAUGUCUUUCAGUAAGGGAUACUGGGAGAAGAAAACUCUGGUGCUUUGGGAGGGGUCUGCGUCCGAUUAGCUAGUUGGUGGGGUAAAGGCUCACCAAGGCGACGAUCGGUAGCUGGUCUGAGAGGACGAUCAGCCACACGGGAACUGAGACACGGUCCCGACUCCUACGGGGGGCAGCAGUGAGGAAUAUUGCCCAAUGGGGGAAACCCUGAGGCAGCAACGCCGCGUGGAGGAAGAAGGUCUUUACGAUCGUAAAACUUCUUUUGUGAGGGAAGAGGAAGGACGGUACCUCAUGAAUAAGUCACGGCUAACUACGUGCCAGCAGCCGCGGUAAUACGUAGGUGACGAGCGUUAUCCGGAUACUGGGCGUAAAGCGUACGCAGGCGGC